rnacentral:hammerhead_ribozyme from 1 species
AUCCAGCUGACGGAUCCAAAAUAAAACGAAACCCGCGUCCUGGGU